UUAAUGUUAGUUUUAUUUUUACGGAAAAUACGUGGAAAAUCAUUUCACUUGAACUCGUCGAAUCGUUCGCGUUAAGAGAUAUGUGCGUUCGCACCUACUAUGUCUACAUCGGGUGGUAAAAAAGGCGCCGGAAGCAAAGGUGCUGGAAACGUAAAUAAAGAAAAAGAAAAUAAGAAGGAAAACGAUGAACCUAAAGACGAUAAAGGUAAAAUUAAUAAAACGGGUAGCAAAGAUAAUGUCAAGGAUAAGGAUAACGGGAAAGAUGAAACCGGAUCUAAUGCGGAAACGGAUGAGACUCCGGCUUCCAAACCACAAAGCGCAGGGGCUUCCACGAGGGAUGCUGCCCAAAAGGUUCUCAGUCUCUGUCAAAAAGGAGAAUGGGGACCUGUUGACCAGAUCCUUAAAUCUAUUGAAAAAGCCAUUGCUAACGCCGGAGAAGAUGCCAACACAGUGCCUUUAUUAGGAGUUGCAGAUCAGGCAACCGGAAUGACACCGCUGAUGUACGCCGUUAAGGACAAUAGGACAUCGCUAUUGGAUAAAUUAAUCGAUUUAGGAUCAGACGUUGGUGCCAGAAACAAUGACAACUACAAUGUAUUACAUAUCUCGGCGAUGUAUUCAAGAGAAGAUGUCGUUAAACUUCUCCUUACGAAACGUGGAGUGGAUCCUUAUUCAACAGGAGGGUCAAGGCAACAAACUCCGGUUCAUUUGGUUGCUUCAAGACAAACGGGAACUGCCACAGCUAUCUUAAGAGCACUUUUAGCAGCCGCCGGAAAAGAUAUUCGAUUAAGACCAGACGGGAAAGGAAAAAUUCCGUUAUUAUUAGCUGUGGAGGCAGGAAAUCAAUCAAUGUGUCGAGAACUGUUAAGUUCUCAAACCGCCGAUCAGUUAAAAGCUGCAGCGGCAAAUGGAGAUACAGCGCUGCAUUUAGCAGCAAGAAGAAAAGACGUCGAUAUGGUUAGGAUUUUGGUCGAUUAUGGAACGAGCGUAGAUAUUAGAAAUGGGGAAGGACAAACACCACUUCAUAUAGCUGCAGCGGAAGGAGACGAAGUUUUGGUUAAAUAUUUUUAUGGCGUAAGAGCUUCCGCUAGUGUAACUGAUAAUCAGGACAGAACUCCAAUGCAUCUUGCCGCUGAAAAUGGUCAUGCGGGAAUUAUUGAGUUGUUGGCUGAUAAAUUCAAAGCUAGCAUCUUUGAACGAACUAAAGAUGGUUCUACUUUGAUGCAUAUAGCUUCGUUAAAUGGGCAUGCUGAUUGUGCUACGAUGUUGUUCAAGAAAGGAGUUUAUCUACAUAUGCCAAAUAAGGACGGUGCAAGAAGUAUACAUACCGCAGCUAGGUAUGGCCACGUGGGAAUCAUAAACACACUGAUACAGAAAGGGGAAAAAGUAGACAUUACCACGAACGAAAAUUACACCGCCCUUCAUAUCGCUGUUGAAUCUUGUAAACCUGCGGUUGUUGAAACAUUAUUGGGUUAUGGUGCUGAUGUUCAUGUCAGAGGUGGAAAAUUAAAAGAAACACCAUUACAUAUAGCAGCAAGAGUAAAAGAUGGUGAAAGAUGCGCUUUGAUGCUUCUAAAAUCGGGUGCAGGACCAAAUUUAAUAACGGAAGAAGGGCAAACUCCGGUUCAUGUUGCAGCAAGACACGGAAAUCUUCAAACUUUACUUUUACUUCUAGAAGAUGGGGGCGAUCCUCAGUACAAAAAUAAACACGGUGAAACCGCCCUUCAUCUUGCAUGUAAAGGUUGUCGACCAGAUGUUGUUCAACAUCUCAUAAAUUAUGUUAAAACCCAAAAAGGCGAAGAUGAAGUAACCGCCUACGUUAAUGAAUUAAAUAACAACGAUGAAAGCGCUUUGCAUUAUAUUUGUACGGUAACGAAGGAUGAAGUGGAAUUUCCUAAUGCUGAUAAAGAGGUUGUAAAGAUUCUUUUGGAAAAUAGAGCCGAUGUUAAGUUGGUUGCAAAACCAGCCCAUGAAUCAGCGUUUCAUUAUUUGGCUGUAGCUGGAAAUAAUGAUGUAUUGAUCGAGAUGAUUUCACACAUGACGGUUACUGAAACACAAAAAGCUUUAAACAGGCAAUCAGCAAUUGGUUGGACACCUUUAUCAAUUGCAGCAAAUCGUGGACAUUACGAGUUGGUUAAUAACCUCUUAAUGAACCAUGCGAGAGUCGAUGUUUUUGAUAACGACGGUCGAUCAGCUUUGCAUCUAGCCGCCGAAAAAGGAUACAUCCAAGUCUGCGACUCAUUACUUUCCAACAAAGCUUUCAUUAAUUCAAAAUCAAGAAACGGACGAACAGCUUUGCAUUUAGCCGCUAUGAACGGUUAUACUGAUUUAGUAAAAUUUCUAAUCAAAGAUCAUAACGCGGUAAUCGACAUUUUAACAUUAAAGAAACAAACUCCGUUACAUCUUGCAGCAGCUGCUGGACAAAUCGAAGUUUGCAAACUUCUUUUGGAUUUAGGAGCUAACAUCGAUGCAACUGAUGAUCAAGGACAAAAACCGAUUCAUGCGGCAGCCCAAAACAACUACUCCGAAGUAGCUAAACUUUUUCUUCAACAACAUCCCAGUUUGGUGAUGGCCACAACUAAAGAUGGUAAUACUUGCGCACACAUCGCCGCAGCCCAAGGAAGUGUUACCGUCAUCGAAGAAUUAAUGAAAUUCGAUAGAACUGGAGUUAUAACCGCCAGAAAUAAAUUAACCGACGCCACAGCGCUUCAGAUCGCAGCUGAAGGGGGUCACGCAGAAGUCGUUAAAGCUUUAGUUAGAGCGGGGGCUAAUGUUACCGAUGAAAACAAAAAUGGAUUUACAGCAGUGCAUUUAGCUGCGAAAAACGGGCAUGGUCAAGUUUUGGAAGUAUUAAGAUCAUCAAAUUCUUUAAGAGUCACGAGUAAGAAACUGGGAGUUACCCCUUUACAUGUAGCAGCUUAUUUUGGACAAGCUGAUACUGUUCGGGAAUUGUUGGCACAUGUCCCAGGAACUGUAAAAUCUGAUGCACCAUCUGGUGCUUCGCUUGUGCCAACACUUGGAAGCGAAUCCGGAAUGACUCCGUUACAUCUUGCAGCGUUCUCUGGAAAUGAAAACGUAGUUAGAUUAUUGUUGAAUUCUGCUGGAGUUCAAGUUGAUGCAUCAACACAUGAAAAUGGUUACAACCCAAUGCAUUUAGCUUGUUUUGGUGGCCACACAACAGUUGUUGGGCUCCUUUUAAGCAGAUCAGCAGAACUUCUUCAAAGUCAUGACAAACAUGGAAAAACAGGUCUUCAUAUAGCAGCAACAAAUGGUCACUACCAGAUGGUUGAAGUUCUUUUAGGUCAAGGUGCGGAGAUUAACGCUACUGAUAAAAACGGUUGGACGCCGCUUCAUUACGCUUCAAGGGCAGGUUGUUUCGAAGUUGUUAAGCUUUUAACGGAAUCCGGUGCAUCCCCGAAAUCGGAAACGAAUCUCGGAUGUGCUCCGAUUUGGUUUGCCGCUUCUGAAGGUCACCAUGAUGUAUUAGAGUACUUGAUGUCUAAAGAACACGAUACGUACAAUUUGAUGGAAGAUAGGAGAUUCGUUUAUAAUUUAAUGGUGUGCUCGAAAAAUCAUAAUAAUCGACCGAUAGAGGAGUUUGUUUUGGUUUCGCCGGCUCCAGUUGAUACCGCUGCGAAGUUGUCGAAUAUUUUGAUUAAUUUGUCAACUAAAGAAAAAGAACGGGCUAAGGAUUUAAUAGCUGCUGGAAAACAUUGUGAAGCUAUGGCUACCGAAUUGUUAGCAUUGGCUGCAGGGGCUGAUUCUGCUGGAAGAGUGUUAACGGCUACUGAUAGAAGAAAUGUGGAAUUUUUAGAUGUCUUAAUUGAGAAUGAACAAAAAGAAGUUAUUGCGCAUACAGUUGUUCAACGAUAUCUUCAGGAACUUUGGAGAGGACCACUUAAUUGGACGGCGUGGAGAACGAUGCUCCUUUUUGUAGGAUUUAUUAUUUGCCCACCAAUUUGGUUGGCUUUUACUCUUCCAUUAGGCCAUAAAUACCAUAAAGUACCUAUUAUAAAAUUUAUGUCCUAUUUAACAUCCCACGUUUAUCUCAUGCUCUUCCUUUUGCUCGUGGCCAUUUUUCCUAUUUAUCCAGUUGUCAGACCGAGCCUACUUCCAUACUGGUACGAAUGGGUUCUUUUGAUAUGGCUUAGUGGACUUUUAUUAUUCGAAUUAACCAACCCAAGCGACAAAUCCGGAUUGGGUUGGAUAAAACUGUCCGUACUUCUUUUCGGAAUUUUCGGCGUCGCAGCUCAUUUACUUGGACUCGCCGAACUGGUCAAAAUAAAUUAUUGGCCAACAUUGAUGUAUUGCAGAAAUCAAUUAUUCGCGUUAUCGUUUUUAUUGGCUUGUGUACAAAUUUUGGACUUUUUGUCGUUUCACCACCUUUUUGGACCGUGGGCCAUCAUCAUUGGAAAUUUGAUGAAAGAUUUGGGACGAUUUUUGGCCGUUUUAGCCAUCUUUGUGUUUGGAUUUUCUAUGCAUUUCGUUGCGUUGAAUCAACGGUUCGAUAACUACAAAGACAGUGAAGUUAAGAACUUGGGAAGAACAGUUGCUUCAGCGAAAAGUUUUGAUGGAGCGGUAAGAGAAUCAACAAUCGAACUUCUCGAUGACAUUGAAGAGCGUCCAGCUGGAGUUAGACCACGCGGGUCUCUUCGCAAGAAAUACUCCCAACCCGAAGUGUCUGGAGAUAUGUUAAUGAGUCCAUUGGUGGCGUUCGAACGUUUGUUUUUCGCCAUUUUCGGCCAGACGACAUACGAUGAUGUGACGAUAAAAGCGCCAGCAGGAGAACCAGCUUACAGACCACAGUGGACCGAAAACCUCUUCAAGGUGGUCUUCGGAGUGUACAUGUUGGUAUCAGUGGUUGUACUGAUCAAUCUGCUAAUUGCUAUGAUGUCUGACACCUAUCAGCGCAUUCAGAUUUGGCACUUUUUACCACUCAUCACUUGUACAUAAACCUGCACAUAAGCACAAAAUAGAAGAAAACCCAUUACCGACUUCUUUCCAUAAUCAGUUCAACAAACAACCGAACUGUAAGCAACCGUUAAAGUUUACCAUCAAAAAAAUUUUGCACUUUUCUGUUUAAUUUAUCUUAAUUACUUAUUAUUCACAUAAAUUUUUCAAAAAAUUAGGCCCAAUCCGACAUUGAAUGGAAAUUUGGUUUGAGUAAACUCAUCAGAUCGAUGCACAGAACAACCUCAGCCCCAUCCCCCAUAAAUUUAAUAACAACAUGGUUAUUUUAUUUAGUAAAACUGUGUAAAAGUAGAGUUCGUGCCAAGAAAAGAACAAGCCUUGUACACAUUAUGGGUGGUUUUCAACGUCCUCAACAAUUAAGCCCGAGAUCGAAAGCGGGCCAAAAAUGGUUAUCAAAAGUAAAAAAGGGCAACCAAGUCGGCCCGAAAGAAUCAACAACGCUAUCGGUAGCUCAUUUAAGUCCUUUAGGUUCCCAAUUGAGUUUUUCAGCUCAAACGACCCGAAUAGAACAUGUCACCGAUUGGGAAGCAAUCGCUAAAAAAUAUCGGGCUUUGGUUGGACAAG